ACCCUUUUCCCAGUGGACAACAUCACUCGUUUGUUCCAUGCCUUUACGCGCACGCACGCAGCAAAGAGGAAGAGACUGUGAGUAGAAAAGCUGCAAUGAAGAGGAAGAGACUGUGACCGCUCGUCGACAAAGUAGAAGGCAACAUCGGGGAAGUGGUGGCAACGAAGGCCUUGAAGCGUAGGAUCUCCGAAUCCACCAACUUUCAACACAUCUUCUCUUGGUGCAGACCAUAUUACUACUAGUCUUGAUUAAUAGUAUGUUUUCAAUUGGAAAGGAGUUGGCAGUGCUUUAGCCAUCUCAAACGCUACUACUAAUAUGUGUGGUAUGCUUUCUUUGUAACAAAUGUAUUGAAUUAGUGUUACCUUCUCUGGAUUGGUAAAAUUUUCAAAUUUUCCUGUUAUGGUUUGAAUUUUAUUGUUAUAAUAAUGUUUUCAAUUUGAA